AUUGAACGCUGGCGGCAUGCCUUACACAUGCAAGUCGAACGGUAACGGGCCUUCGGGUGCCGACGAGUGGCGAACGGGUGAGUAAUACAUCGGAACGUGCCCGAUCGUGGGGGAUAACGAGGCGAAAGCUUUGCUAAUACCGCAUACGAUCUACGGAUGAAAGCAGGGGACCGCAAGGCCUUGCGCGGACGGAGCGGCCGAUGGCAGAUUAGGUAGUUGGUGGGAUAAAAGCUUACCAAGCCGACGAUCUGUAGCUGGUCUGAGAGGAUGAUCAGCCACACUGGGACUGAGACACGGCCCAGACUCCUACGGGAGGCAGCAGUGGGGAAUUUUGGACAAUGGGCGCAAGCCUGAUCCAGCCAUGCCGCGUGCAGGAUGAAGGCCUUCGGGCUGUAAACUGCUUUUGUACGGAACGAAAAGCCUUCUUUUAAUACAGGAGGGUCAUGACGGUACCGGAAGAAUAAGCACCGGCUAACUACGUG
rnacentral:rRNA from 1 species